GAUGAACGCUGGCGGCGUGCCUAAUACAUGCAAGUCGAGCGAACAGACGAGGAGCUUGCUCCUCUGACGUUAGCGGCGGACGGGUGAGUAACACGUGGAUAACCUACCUAUAAGACUGGGAUAACUUCGGGAAACCGGAGCUAAUACCGGAUAAUAUAUUAAACCGCAUGGUUCAAUAGUGAAAGACGGUUUUGCUGUCACUUAUAGAUGGAUCCGCGCCGCAUUAGCUAGUUGGUAAGGUAACGGCUUACCAAGGCAACGAUGCGUAGCCGACCUGAGAGGGAGAACGGGCACACGGGAACUGAGACACGGUCCAGACUCCUACGGGAGGACGCAGUAGGGAAUCUUCCGCAAUGGGCGAAAGCCUGACGGAGCAACGCCGCGUGAGUGAUGAAGGUCUUCGGAUCGUAAAACUCUGUUAUUAGGGAAGAACAAAUGUGUAAGUAACUAUGCACGUCUUGACGGUACCUAAUCAGAAAGCCACGGCUAACUACGUG
rnacentral:rRNA from 1 species